rnacentral:lncRNA from 1 species
UUUUUUUUUUUUUUUUUGGGUAAUGCUUUUCAGUAGCUUCAUCUCCGUCAAAUUUUAAGAUAAUAAAUCUCAAUACUCUAAUGCUUGAUCGUUUAGAGUGAGAGUUUCAGCUCUUCAAUCUUUUCAGAUAAUUUGUCUCAAAUGUUGACAGAAAUACACCGCAUGCAAUUGCAUAGGAGAUCCGCAACCUUGCUCGCUAGCCCCAAAGUAAUCAUGGCAGAUUUCGGUCUGCCAUUCCAAGCCAAAGGCCAAACUGCGAGCAGAACUCAAAACUCCGAGCACCGUCUCGUCAUCAAUGUUUGCACCAGCGGAACCAAAUCAUUUGUCAACUGUAAUGUCAGCUCAAACGCUCGAACUAUUAUAGAAAUCAGUAGGAAAAGACGGAUAAACACUGACUGCAAUUAUUACAAGAAACUAAUCAGACAAAGUUUGUCUCUCAGAUUAUUUUUACAAUUUACAGCGUCUACGACAAUCUAAAGCUCUUCUCUCAAAUAACCAGGACCAGGAUUGAAUGGAUCGGACUCCAAGUAUGCUUCUGGACGAGACGUCCCAGCAUCAUUCAUUCGAUUGCUCAGUACAUGAAGGAUAGCCUUCUUUGCACCGUAUUCAUCUCGGUUGUUUU